rnacentral:lncRNA from 1 species
CACCAUCACCACUGACUGGGCACCAUCACCACUGACAGCCAGACAGACACCAUCACCACUGACAGCCAGACACCAUCACCACUGACUGGGAACCCUCCCUGCACACUCUGCAUGGAGACCAGCUCUUAGUGAUCCUGAUGGGGCUACCUGUGAGACCCCUGCUCUCCUUUCUGGCUGAGAUCUCCAGGAGGACCCGGGGCCCGUGCCUGUCACUGAUUGUCCCUGCCAGGACUUACAGACUGCUCCCCUGCCUCCGCAAGCAGUCUGGGCCUCAGUAUGCCAGCAUGGACAGUGUCGUUAAAGCCCAACAGAGGAGCUUUAAGAAGGGUCUUUUGUCCACCCUGGAUACAACUUUAAGUCCUGUCACUGUGACAGAAAUCCGCCAUUAUUUAAGGACAAACAACAUUUCUUUCCACGAUGGUUACAGCUGCAUCCAUGUGCCCAGCCCUUUCUCUCUUAAUCCAGAAAACUGUCUUUUUAUUGAUAAGACAACCGGGCGCUUCUUGUGUAAAGACACGUUACUGGAAGGUUCCUGGCAGGACUACCAGGAUAGCUUAGCCCUAAUACUGAAAGAGGGCUACCAGUACCUCAGUCCUGAUUAUAUGGCCAGUUUAUUGGGGGAUAGUGACAGUGAAUCUGGAGAAGAACAGAUGAAUGACAUGGAAGUGCGUAGGAUUUGGGAUAGAGCUGUUUGGUUCUCUGACCUUGAAGAAGAUGAUGCACAGAUCAUAAAAACUAUGUUCAACAUUUCAAAGAUUCCCAAUAAUACCCUAAAGAAGUUUGGAGUCAAGUGCUACUUUCCUACCAAAAGUCUUGUAUUCUCUUGGAACAGUCCUAGGGACUCAAGCUUAAAGGGUUUGAAAUUGUUGUCCGCUGAAUGUCGAGAUCAAUGUGUCCAUUACAUUGAAACAACCUACCCAAGGCCUGCCCGAUAUAAUAAUUUGUUUGGACUUUCAGUAAUUGGUAAAAAGGAGACUGAAGUUGUAAUCACCAGCAGAGAGGUGGACAGUUUGGCAGUGCACCAAGCCACUGGUGUAACAACAGUGGCCUUGCCCCGUGGAAUAACCUGUUUGCCCCCUAUUCUCUUGCCCUAUCUGGAACAGUUUAAACGCAUAACUCUCUGGCUCGGAGAUGACCUUCACUCUUGGGAAGCCUCCAAACAGUUUGCUCGAAAACUAAACCUUAAGAGAUGUUCACUAAUACGGUCUGGUGACAAACUGCCUACACCACUGCAGGCAUUUAAUGAAGGCUUAAACUUAAAUAAACUCCUUAAAACUGCUUUUCCGGCAAACCACAAAUCUAUCAUUUCUUUUCGUCAACUAAGGGAGGAAGUAUUUGGUCAGCUGGAGAAUGUUGACCAGAUUUCAGGGGUCAAAUGGGCCAGAUUCCCUGAAUUAAAUAAACUACUUAAAGGCCACCGUAAAGGGGAACUGACCAUAUUUACAGGUAUAUAUGUAGGUUUAUAAUGUGUGUUUUCUUACACUCGCAUCCAGGGUCUGUUAAGACAAUUUAAAGUAAAAAAUAAUUAUUCUUUAUAUUAAAUUAAAAGUUGCAUAUGCACAUACUGAAUAUCUCUACUGGAGAAAAUGCUAAUCUUACAUGCAAAGAGUACUUGUCCAUUAGAUGCCAAAGUAUGCACCCAUGAAGAAAAAACUCACAGGCACUCCAACUUCAAGCCGCAGGCAGAUUUAUUAUGACAGAAUGCAACGCAACGUUUCGACCGGAAAGGUCUUUUUCAAGCUUUUUCAAGGUUGCCUGGAGACGGAGUGUUUCCGGUCGAAACGUUGCGUUGCAUUCUGUCAUAAUAAAUCUGCCUGCGGCUUGAAGUUGGAGUGCCUGUGAGUUUUUUCUUCUUGGAUUAUUGUACUGGGAUUGCUGGUCCUGCUCUGGAGCACCCUUGGCCGUUGGGAUUGGGUGCGGUUCUCAUCACUUACUCUGCUCAAAAGUAUGCACCCAUGACAUUAUGGGGUGGAGAAGUUGCUGCAACACUGAAAGGUACACAGCCGUUAGAGGCAGUCUUAACCCUGCAAUGUGAGAAAUUGCAUGGAUAAAGGGACCACUUUAAGUGCAGUGAGGGUAAGUACUUUGCAGCAUUAAUCAGCCCAGUAAAUGCUGAAAAAGUAUACUGGAGUGAAGGAUCAAGGAACCUCCACUUCUCAGGUGAUGGUUCUCCUUUAACACCUUAAGGACCAAACUUCUGAAAUAAAAGGGAAUCAUGUCAUGUGUACUUAAGGGGUUAAACUUGUCCAAAGCAAAAAAAAAAAAAAUUAAUCUGUUACAUGUGUUAAAAACAGGGUUCCCUGUUGCUCGUACUAAAAUACUAGCCUGAUUUGAAAAUUCCUUUCCAAGGGGGCUUUUUAAUCCUUGUUUAAAGGACCACUCUAGGCACCCAGACCACUUCAGCUUAAUGAAGUGGUCUGGGUGCCAGGUCCAGCUAGGGUUAACCCAUUGUUUUAUAAACAUAGCAGUUUCAGAGAAACUGCUAUGCUUAUCAAUGGGUUAAGCCUUCCCCCAAAGCCUCUAGCGGCUGUCUCAUUGACAGCCGCUAGAGGCGCUUGCGUGCUUUUCACUGUGAAAAUCACAGUGAGAGCACGCAAGCGUCCAUAGGAAAGCAUUAUAAAUGCUUUCCUAUGCGACCGGCUGAAUGCGCGCGCAGCUCUUGCCGCGCGUGCGCAUUCAGCCGACAGGGCGGAUCGGAGGAGGAGAGGAGGCAGAGAGCUCCCCGCCCAGCGCUGGAAAAAGGUAAGUUUUUACCCCUUUCCCCCUUCCAGAGCCGGGCGGGAGGGGGACCCUGAGGGUGGGGGCACCCUCAGGGCACUAUAGUGCCAGGAAAACGAGUAUGUUUUCCUGGCACUAUAGUGGUCCUUUAAAAACUUCAAUAUGUCAACUGCAGAUAGAGUGAGUGGGGACUGUCCAGGCUAGGUACACCAUUCGAAGCAGCACUCUGGAUUAAUUCAGUGUUGUAUUUUGCUACUGUCCUAAUUUUAGAGUGUGAGAGUAUUUUGUAUAUAAAGUUACUAUUAAUGGUGUAUGCAUUCUCACUGGUGCUUUAUCUUAGAGCCAAUUUACUGAGGAAGGGUUAGGAACUAGAGCUACAUUGUUUUUCUUCUAUUUUGGUCGUGCAUUCUGCAUUACAUUAUUAAUAGCUUUUAUAUGAGAGACAAAGCUAAUAAACUAAACAUUCUAGGUUUUGUAGGAUGAAUCCUUGUUACAGGCCAAUUAAAAAGAACACAAAGUACACCAGUAAAUGUAAUUGUUGAUAUAUUUGCCUUUAACCACUAGAUGGCAUAUUUACUGUGAUCACUAUGUGAAAUAUGCAUGUUUGCUGUAGCAGUUCUUUGAACUGUAAACUGUCAUCAUAUUACAGAAUCCAAAGCAAAAUAGUCACCAAUUGUAUCAUGAUUUAUAUGUGGGUCAUUUUUAUAUAAUUCAGUCAAUGAAAUGAUGAUUCUCUAAUUAUUAAUCUAUCCUAGUGUGACACACUCUUGAUACAUUCUCUAAAUAAGAAGCUUAAAAUACAUUCUGACAUGACAGCUGCAAAUGCACAGAGAGGGCACAGUAUAAUUUCCCUAUGAUCAUCUUCUACAAGGAAAUAAAGCCAUUAUACUUGGUUUGUCCAUUUUAUUAACCCCUUAGUGACCAGACCGCUUUUCAAUUUUCUUAUCAUUAAAGGAACACUAGAGUCACCUAAAUUACUUUAGCUAAAUAAAGCAGUUUUAGUGUAUAGAUCAUUCCCCUGCAAUUUCACUGCUCGAUUCACUGUCAUUUAGGAGUUAAAUCACUUUGUUUCUGUUUAUACAGUCCUAGCCACACCUCCCCUGGCUAUGAUUGACAGAGCCAAACAGAUGUAAUUUACCUUAAAUAAUUGUAUCUCAAUCUCUAAAUUGAACUUUAAUCACAUACAGGAGGCUCUUGCAGGGUCUAGCAAGCUAUUAACAUAGCAGGGGAUAAGAAAAUCUUAAUUAAACAGAACUUGCAAUAAAGAAAGCCUAAAUAGGGCUCUCUUUACAGGAAGUGUUUAUGGAAGGCUGUGCAAGUCACAUGCAGGGAGGUGUGACUAGGGUUCAUAAACAAAGGGAUUUAACUCCUAAAUGGCAGAGGAUUGAGCAGUGAGGCUGCAGGGGUAUGUUUUAUACACCAAAACUGCUUCAUUAAGCUAAAGUUGUUCAGGUGACUAUAGUGUCCCUUUAACCCCUUAAGGACCAAACUUCUGGAAUAAAAGGGAAUCAUGACAUGUCACACGUCAUGUGUCCUUAAGGGGUUAAGGACCAGGGCUGUUUUUACAUAUCUGCGGUGUUUGUGUUUAGCUGUAUUUUCCUCUUACUCUUUUACUGUACCCAUACAUAUUAUAUACCGUUUUGUUUUUCUCACCAUUAAAUGGUCUUUCUAAAGAUACCAUUAUUUUUAUCAUAUAUAAUUUACUAUAAUAUUUUUUAUAAAAUAUGAUGAAAAAAUGUAAAAAAGCACUCUGUUGAAACUUUGACCCCCAAAAUCUUUUGCACAUCUACAACCGCCAAAAAACACCCGUGCUAAAUAGUUUCUAAAUUUUGUCCUGAGUUUAUAAAUACCCAAUGUUAACAUGUUCUUAGCUUUUUUUGGAAAGUUAUAGGGCUAUAAGUGCUAGUAGCACUUUGCUAUUUUCAAACCAUUUUAUUUCUAAAUUAACGCAAAUUACAUUGUAAUACUGAUAUAUCUGUCAGGAAUCCCUUAAUAAGCCUUCACAUGUAUAUAUUUUUUAAAAGAAGACAACCUAAGGUAUUAAACUUGGGGUAUUUUGACUCUUUUCAUGAAACCAUUUUACCACCAAUCUAUGCCAAAUAAAAAAUAAAAAAAAAUUAUAAUUGAUUUUUUUUUACACACAUAGUAAUUUAAGAAUACAUGUACUGAGAACUUUAAGAGUUACUGCCAAUUAACACUCCAAUAUGUAUUUAGCAACAUCUCCCGAGUACAGUGAUACCACCCAUGUAUAGGUGUGUCGGGUUCUCUGGGGGCUCAAAUACCUUAUUUGGAGGGUGCACAUUCCAGUUUUCCAACUUGGAAUUUUCACAGCUGGUCAUCAUGCACCCAUGUCCUAUUUGGGACAUUUUUGAAGUCCACCAAUGUAAUUUACCCCCAUCAAACCAUAUAUUCUUGAAAAGGUAUUAAAUAUGGGUUAUGUCCAGUCUUUUUUAGUAGUCUCAAACACUGGCCAAAGUUAGCAUUUAUAUUUGUGUGUUAAAAAUGCAAAAAACAAUCAUGAACGCUAACUUUGUCCAGUGUUUGUGAUCAAGUGACUACUAAAAAAGACUGAACAUACCCCAUUUGCAAUACCUUGGGUUGUCUUCUUGUGCAUAUGGUAUGUCAUCACGGGGGUAAUUUUCAUUCCUGGGCUACCAUACACUCUCAAAGGCAACAUAACCAAUCUGGCGAAUUUUAAAGUGAAAAAACUGCCUUAUAUUUGACCCUGUAACUUUCAAAAACAAUAUAAAACCUGUACAUGGGGGGUACUGUUAUACUCUAGAGACGUCGCUGAACACAAAUAUUAGUGUUUUAAAACAGUAAAACUUAUCACAACAAUUUAUAUCAUCAGUAAAAGUGCUGUUUGUGUGGGAAAAAUGCAAAAAAAGUAACUUUCACUGACAAUAUCAUUGCUGUGAUAUGUUUUACUGUUUUGAAACACUAAUAUUUGUGUUUAUCGAAGUCUACUGAGUAAAACAAUACCCUCCCCAUGUACAGGUUUUAUAUUGUUUUUGAAACAGGGUUAAAUAUAGUGCUAGCAAAUAAAAUUAUCUGGACUUUCGGCCUGGGAUGUCAGCAAGGUCGGUCCCCCAAAUUAAUUAUGUAAAAAUAUUAUCUAAAUAUGAAAGUAUAAUUUAAAUAUAUAUAUAUAUAUAUAUAUAUAUAUAUAUAUAUAUAUAUAUAUAUAUAUAUAUAUAUAUAUAUAUAUAUAUAUAUAUAUAUAAAGUCUGCGUAUAUAUUUAUUGAAAUUAUUUAAGUAAUUAUGUAUAUGGACAUUGGUAUAUUUCGUUUUAUUUAUAUAUACAUAGCUAUAUAAUUUCAUUCUAAGUGUAUUUUGAUAUAAAUAUAUAUGUUAUCAAAAUACAGUUAGAAUAAAAUUAUAUAUAUAAUUUUUAAAAUUAUUUUAACGUUUGUAUUUUUUAUUUAUAUUUUAAUAUAUAGUUAUAUAUUAUAUAUACGUGUGUAAUUUUAAUCUUAAGUGUAUUUUUAUAUUAAUAUAUAUCAAUAAAAAAAAUACACUUAGUAUGACGUUAUAUAUAAGAUAAAUAUACACAUAUAUUGUGUGUGUGUGUGUGUGUGUAUAUAUAUAUAUAUAUAUAUAUAUAUAUAUAUAUAUAUAUAUAUAUAUUUACUUUUUUAACCAGGAAAUUCUUGUCAGUAGAACUAUUGAACUUUCAUCUUAAUGUUCUAGCUUUCCUUUUCCAAAGGUCCUACUGGAAGUGGCAAAACAACCUUCAUCAGUGAGUACGCACUGGACUUGUGUAUUCAAGGAGUGAACACCCUAUGGGGAAGCUUUGAGAUUAACAACAUCCGUCUGGCCAAGCUCAUGCUGACGCAGUUCUCUCUUCUACGAUUGGAGGAGCAGUUGGACAAAUACGAUGAGUGGGCGGAUCAAUUUGAGAACCUACCUCUUUAUUUUAUGACCUUUCAUGGACAACAAAAUAUCAAGUAAUGCACAAUUUCUCUGGUACUUGAAAAGCAAUCUAGAUUAGUGUUAAUUUAACUGUGAAGGUUAUUUCCAAUGCUGUUUAAUACGGUGGAGAUUAAAAAAGAAAGAAACAAAAAAAUAUAAGUACUCUGUCAUUUUGGCCUCAAAUUUGAAAUUCGCGUUUAGUUUUCUGGUGAUUCUCACUUUAUUGAAUAACAUUAGUUGUUGUGUAUUUUCAUACCCCUGGUAGUUAUCUAGUUGUUUUUGAAUUGUACUUCUGAUGAUUCUUAGCAGGUACUGGUGUUUGUAUGAUGUUGACUAGUGUGAUUAGUGUUCUUGGGGUCAUGGGACAUAUACUUUAUCACAUACAUACAUUUUAUCUAUUAUUACUCAAGAAGUUCUUGAUUCAGUGGUGCUGGAGACUUCUUCAACAGAAAGAGGGUCACUAUCUGUUUUACCGAACCCCGUCUUUCCUGCCCACUUCCCACCAACUCUACCCGAGAACACCUCAGUCACCGCACACCUCCGUCACCACCUUCUCGGUCACUGCACACCUCCGUCACCACCUUCUCGGUCACUGCACACCUCCGUCACCACCUUCUCAGUCACCGCACACCUCCGUCACCACCUUCUCGGUCACUGCACACCUCCGUCACCACCUUCUCGGUCACUGCACACCUCCGUCACCACCUUCUCAGUCACCGCACACCUCCGUCACCACCUUCUCGGUCACUGCACACCUCCGUCACCACCUUCUCAGUCACUGCACACCUCCGUCACCACCUUCUCGGUCACUGCACACCUCCGUCACCACCUUCUCGGUCACUGCACACCUCCGUCACCACCUUCUCGGUCACUGCACACCUCCGUCACCACCUUCUCGGUCACUGCACACCCCGAAGAGGAAGUGGGAGAUCACCAGGCAAAUGUAGAGCUGUAAUAACCUAGCUUUAGCUAAGUAACUGUGGUUUAACAACAGCUGAUUGAAAACCAUCUUAAUUUGCAGUCAUGCAAUAAGGCAAUCUCUGCUAAACUAAUGGAGAAGUUCACUAAAUGACAAAUUGUGCUAAAUUAACUACUGAGUUGCAAAAUCAAGUUAGAUUAUUUUUCCAAUAUGCUUAUUUAAGUCUACAUUUAGCAAUUUACAUUGUGUUGAAUUUCCAAUGACUGUUUAGCAAAAAAUCCCAAAAUGUCUAUAUAUUUUACCCAUUGCAGCCUGCGGAAUGUGCAACACAGUAACAUUUAUGUUUAAAAAUCAAAUAUCACUUUUUUUUUGUUUUAACUUUUGUUCUGUCCAAUUUUAUACAGACUACAAAUAAAACACAUCAUUACUUGCUUCUGGUUCACGAAGAAAUGGAACAUAAUAAUAAUGUUAUUUGGGGUAAAGGUAAUGGCCCCGGGGGAUACUAAAAUCAACGGGUGUGUGGAGUGAAACUAGUCUGUUAGUAUCAAGCAGUUAACUUCAUUCAGGGACAGAAGGACAAAUCUUAGUAUAAUAUAGGUGUUAAGUUGACAGUCUUAAGAGCAAAAUGGGUGCACCCAUUACCCCAAAAAUACUUACAAAAAAAUAAUGCAAGGCUCUUCAAAACAUUUCCAACAUUAUCUCCAACUUACAAUAUUUAUAAAUAAAAGAAAGCUAUAGUUGAUAAAACAACCAAUCACAUACAACACCCAGUGAUGAAUAAAAAUUGUAUACUUCACAACAUGCUAAAAGGUGGAUAUUCGCACAUAGAUGGCAAUUACACAACACUCCAGAAUAUACAAAAUAUAGAUGUAACCAUACAUAGUGUGAUCUGUAUAUAAAUAUGGAAGCAUAAAGUGGUAUGUAUACACUUACAAGUGUAGAGCCGUACUAGGCUCUGUAUUAACAGCUUCUGAGUGCCAGCACUGGCUACCAUUAUACGAAAAUGCUAUAGAGUCCAUUUUAAAAUAGGGCAGACUUGCCCAAAAAGUAUAAAAGUCCAUCCCAUAUUGUGCAAGCUUACAAAUAUUAAUAAAAGGUAUUUUAUAACAAAAGAUCUAAAUAGUGUAUAUGAUGCAUAAAUACCCUUAAAAUAUUUCCAUCUGAGCGUACAAUAAUACUCAGAAUGUGUGAAUUUUACCAUAAAAUUUCAGCAUGCAGAAAUCAAGUAUUACAAUGUGUAAUGAGAGCCCAGAGAGGUGGAAAGGAGUGCAUGAGUUAAUGAAAAAAAUAAAUAAAUAAAAAAAAAAAAAAAAAUAUAUAUAUAUAUAUAUAUAUAUAUAUAUAUAUAUAUAUAUAUAUAUAUAUAUAUAUAUAUAUAUAUAUAUAUAUAUAUAUACAGCGCUACGGAAUUUGUUGGUGCUAUAUAAAUAAUAAAAAAAUAAUAAUAUAUAUAUAUAUAUAUAUAUAUAUAUAUAGAUGUUGGCAAUAUCUCCAUUUAACAAACAUUAUAAAAAGUCAAGCCAUUAGGGCUUAACGUAUCUAACUCAAAUAUCCAUUUAAUUUCCAUCUUGGGGAGUUCCUAGAAAUUGUCUUCUCCUUGCCAAUGUAACUUUCUUUUUUUUUUUUUAAAUAUAUAUAUAUAUAUAUAUCACCAUAAAACUCAAAUGGGUCAGAUCACUAUUAUGUACUUUGGCAAAAUGGGAUGAUACACUGUGUUUAGUGUUUUUAGACUUCUUGUAUCUACAUACUGUAAACCACAGGGGCACCAGAGGACAUACACCACAUUGGUGGAUGGCAAGAUAAGGUGCCUUUAAUUUUAUAUUUCUUUUGGGAGGUAUUAGAUUUAAAUUCAACUUGUGUUGUCUUUUUACAUGCUGUACACAUUUUACAGGGAUAAACACCUUGAGAUAAAUUAAAAACAUUGUCCCUGGGUGGGUCCUUAAUACAACUUUUACCUAAGAUAUUUUUGGCCCCUCUAAACACAAUAUUUGGUCUAUCUCCCAAUGUUUCGUUCAAAUCCAUAUAUAUAUAUUUUUUUAAAUCUAAACUAAUGGGAAUCCUACUUUUUGUAACUUUUAAUUCUGGAUUUAUCGACAUAUCCCUCUUUUAUAUAUUAAAAAGAUUCUCCCUAUUUAAUGUCUGUACUUCCAACUUUUGUUUUUCAAGAGUUUCGACGUCUGUUUUUUUUCUUUAAAAAACAUUGUUAAAACCUUAGUUUGGACACUAUGUUGCUCCGCAUCGCUGCAGUUCAGUAGCAAUCUGAUGUAUUGUGCUUUUAGGAAUAUUAUUCAGCCAUGGUGGAUAAUGGCAAUUGACUAAAUCUAUAAAACUAUUGACCUCGACCUUCUUGAAAAACAUUUUUAGUUUUUAUAACCUGGUUUUUACGUAAAUUUCUCAAUCUAAAAAUUGUACCAUUUUAAAACUAUGUUAACUAGUUAAAAUUAGGCCCCUUUGAUUAUUAUUUAAACAGGUUAAAAUUAUUUUAAAAGAUCCACAUUACCCUUUCGAAUGGAAAAUAAAUGUCAUCAAUAUACCUGCAAUAGAGAAAAAAAAGUUCGCACACCAGACACCCUCUGUCAACAGGAAUGAUUCCUCCCAAAACUGCACCCAGUUAAGCCAACCUAUUUAUGCCAACUUGGUUCCCAUCGCAUUGCCAAUAAACCGAAGAAAGAAAUGUCUGUCAAACCAAAAAUAAUUUUUGUGUAAAAAAUUUAUAUUCUCUUCAUGAUAAAAUCUAUUUAUGCCACUGGAAAAAACUCAACAUCAUAUCCCAUAUAACCAAUUAUUGAAGCACCUAUAUACCUACUGCUUUACAGUGUUAUUGUUGUGAUUACAAUACUUAUGCCUCUCUUUGUGACCUAGAGUUAUUGAGCGAUUAUGGUCUAAAGGAAUGCCAAGGUCAUUUUGUUCUGUUAAAUAAACCACUUACAUGGCAAUAUUUGAGUCAUGCAGGCAAGGAUGUAAAUAAAAUAAUUCAACUUUGUGCUAAUAUUGUCAGUGUUCAUUAGGGAACUCCAGCACCGCAGACAGACUUGUACCCACCUAAAGCAACUCUUUAUCGCACGCUGUCCAUGCAGACACUGUGUGAUGUAGAUGGCUGUAUGCUGGAAUGUUUAAUCAUUUUCUGUUUCUUACUGCAGGUUGGUACUGGACACUAUGCAGCACGCUGUGUACAUGUAUGACAUUAAUCAUGUGAUCAUUGAUAAUCUGCAGUUCAUGAUGGGUCAGGAAAACCUCUUUUCUGAUAAGUAAGAUUCUGCAAAUUAUGUACAUUUUACAUAGUUUUUUUUCUUCUUCUUGUAAGUAGAGUAUUGUAAGUAAAUUUAAGCAGGGAAUUCUUCACCACGUGUGUCUGUUUUUGUAUGUCAAUUACUUGUUGUUAUCCCUUUUAUAUAAUUGUAAAGUGUUGCAAAAUAUGUUGGCUCCAUAUAAAUGCUACUAAUAAUAUUAGCCCACCUCUCUUGCUGUCUUCUGCUGUAAUUGUUCCUGCACAAACUUGUAUCCCUUUAACACAGGGUUUGACAAACUGCAUAGGGCUACAGCUCCUUGAAAUAUCACUACUGCUGAUAACAUUACUAAAAUUUAGAACUCGAUGGAGUACACAUUCCCCAACUUCUGCAAACCAAUUGUUAGGAUUUUAAAUGUCUGAGUUGCUAUUAAAGUUUUCAAAAUAUUGUAUUCCUGGUUUAACGAAUAAUCUCUUCAAGUAAUCAGGACAUACUUGAAAAUGAGAGAAAUCUCAAUAUAUCCUUUCUGGUAAAAUAUUUUAUAAAUAAUCCAAGCUAUUAAAUGAUAGCCUCUGACACCCAUAAACUAGAAAUAUAUCAUGAAUAAAUGAAGAAGAAUCUGUCCCAGUCCUAUGUUAGAAAAGGUCAAUAAAAUCCUUUAUUAAUAGAACUAAAAACUCACACACACAAAUACUAAAUCACUAGUCACUUCAGCCACCAUAAUAGAUAAUUAGGGCAGAAUAUGUGACCAGAUCUAAAUACGCUAAGUGAGAAAUAUAUACAGGAGGGAGGGGAGUGAAAUAUACAAAAAUGAACAAGAUAAGGGAAGAAACCCAGUAGGGUGCCCUUAUUUUGUUAAUUUUUGUAGAUUUCACUCCCCUCCCUUCUGUAUAUAUUCCUCACUUAGCGUAUUUAGACCUGGUCACAUAUUCUGCCCUAAUUAUCUAUUAUGGUGGCUGAAGUGACUAGUGAUUUAGUAUUUGUGUGUGUGUGAGUUUUUAGUUCUACCAAUAAAGGAUUUUAUUGACCUUUUCUAACAUGGGACUGGGACAGAUUCUUCUUCAUUUAUUCAUUUAUUACCCUAGGGUUACCCCCUUAUCUGUCCUUCAUUUCCUCUAUUUUGGAUUUACCCAGGGCCAACGUUCUAUUAAAAUAGAAAUAUAUCAUGUGAAAUGUUUUGUAAAAAAUUUUUUAUUGUCUCCUGUUCGUCUCCAAUCUAUCCCCUUUCCUUCUGAAACUGUGUAGUAACUACUUAACUACUAUAAGUGUGUGCAAGUUUUAUAGUAAACACACACAUUAUUUCUCUGUAAUCCUAAAUUCAGUCUGCCUUUGUGAAUCACAAAUUCUAAACACCCUUAUGGGUAUCACAUGCAAUUUAAAAACACGUUUUAAGUCAACUGCUGUAAAGAGAGCACCUCCCAAUCUGCAUACUAUAGGCUGCAAUGCACAUUACGCUCAGCCAGCAGAAUUCUUGUUGAGCGGGAUGAGAGAUGCUAGCAGCAGAUGGAGUGCAGGUGUGACACGUAGCAUAAUCCAGCAGUUCAGUUUAGUGUCCGACCACAAACCCACUGUAAGGUAAUAAAUGAUGACUAACGAUCAUACAUCCAGCUAAAUACAGUAGGUGAAGUAUGGUUUUUGUUUUAUCGUCACAUUUAAUACCUGGUCUUAGUUGGAUGAGAUUGUGAAAGUUAAUAUUAUGACCAUAAAGCUCCCGGCAUGCCAACUACCCACACAUUUUAAUUAUGCUUGUGUUUUUUUUGUGUGUAUAUUCAACCAGUUUUCUUCAGCUUGUGGUUUUUUUGUGGGGGGCCGGGGGGUUCCUCUAAAUAGUUUUGUUUCUUAAGCCCACCCUUUCUCCAUCUCACUCCAAAACUGUAGUGUUUUCUUUAUUUAUUUUUAUGCACAGACAUAAUGGCCAGAGUUGCAGUUCAGCUUUUUACUGUAGAACGCUGACCAUUGAAUAUUUGAGUGCUCAGAGAGCUCAGCUAUAGAAAGACACGUCAACACAGCUAGAACUUCAUUAGAGUUUUUAUUAUUUUCUUUUUCUUCAUAUUUGAUUCUGAGCUAUAACUUUCUGGGUAUCACAUGUUAAAAUGUUUUUACAUGGAGACUCCCGCCUCCUUUCCUCACUGCCUUAAUCUUUGCAUUGGUUACAGAUUCGCAGUUCAGGAUUACAUGGUCGGUGCCUUCAGAAAGUUUGCUACUGAACAUAAUUGCCAUGUGACGGUGGUCAUUCAUCCCCGGAAAGAAGAUGACGAUAAGGAAUUACAGACGUCAUCAAUUUUUGGAUCAGCAAAAGUAGGUUAAUAUUCUAUCACUCUGCUUUUUUAACAUUGUUAGCCAUUAUCCUCAGCCGGCCUUAACAAUUGACUUAGAAUAAGGGGAGUGGUCCUCAAAGACUGGAGUUUCAAAAUGUUAGGCAUUAUGUAUUCCUACACCGCUUUCCUUCUCCUGCCCAGUUUGUAUCUGCAGUUGAGUUUGUUUUGCUUUGUUUUUUUUUUUGGUGUGCUUGAUACUCAUAGGGAAACAAAUUUGUGUUUUGUACUUUAUAGUUCAAGAGGUAGAUAGUUAAGUAAAAAUAUUACUAAACAAUGUGUUUAUUUAGAAUUCACCAAACUAUGCUACUGCCUUUUUCGUGUUUUUUAUUUUUUUGUUUUGUUUAUAUCUGAUUGUAAUUCAUCUAUUUCCUGUAAUAGCCAGGCCUUGUUUAUUCUCUGCUGUGAGUUGGAGUAGAUACCAUACCUUCAGUAUGCUCUGUUUAAUUGCAGGCCAGUCAAGAAGCUGAUAAUGUUCUCAUACUUCAAGAUCGGAAACUGGUGUCAGGCCCAGGCAAGAGGCAUCUUCAAUUAGCAAAGAAUCGAUUUGAUGGAGACGUGGGUAUCUUUGCUCUGGAGUUCAAUAAGUCCUCUCUGACUUUUUCCACUGGCAAAAACAAAGCAAAGCUGAAAAAAGUCAACAAAGACAAUGAAAUGCAGGUGGAUAACCCUUUAGAAGAGACCCCAAAAAAGAGUAAGAAGUAGACACACACUGACUUUCUGUUAGCACUUAACUAAGUGUGCCGUUCUGCCCAGAUGAACAGCUCUGAAUCCAAGGACAAUAUUAGAACCUAAAGCUAGCCGUUCAAGCUGUGAGUUUUAUAACGGAAUGUUUCUUACUAAUCAGGAGCACUUGUACUGACACAUUACUUCAGAGGUGACAAUAGAAUUCAAUGGAAGAAUCAUUUUUUACAGACAUCAAAAUACACUUUCAUAAAAGGGUCAGAAUUGAUUAUUAAAAUCUCUUUAUAAAAUUUCAAGAGACCUCUUGCUCUGAUACGGGUCAGGGAGGACCUCGUAUGUUUAAGCAUUAAAGAAAACCCACAUUUUGUAUGAUUCUGAUCAUAUGACUUUUUGUAUCGUUUGUCUUGCAUUCUUGAGGUGGGAGAUGCCUUUAUGGUGGACCUGCCCUUCUCAAAAUGUGCAAAUGACAAAGUCCACGUUAGGUUAUUAACAUGUAAUCUAUACAUUGGAAUAUACAUUUACUGAAGUAAAUUAUUAACAUUUUCUUACUACCUCCUUCGUGCUGGCUGUAUGGCAGUAGCAGAGAUAUAAAGGUUCAAACAAUGAAUGUUCUAUAAAGAAUUUAAUAGUUGUGAAAUUAAAGUGUGUUCUUGACACUAUAGUUCUAAAUUCACCAUUUACGUGGUCAGCCCCCCUUACCUAAGGUUAGACAGGUGAUUUUCUUUCAUUUUUCCAGCAUCGCUCCUUGCAUCUGGUCACAUCCCCGAUCCACCUCUUAGGCUGACAUCAUCAAUGGAAAGCAUUGUGAUUGGCUAAGAUUCUGAUGAUCUCAGCUAAGGAGACGUGUGGUGGCAGAUUUAAACGUAGCCCUUGCAAAUCAGCAUCUCCUCAUGUAUCAAUACAUUUCUUGGGUUCAGAAGUGCAGCACUGACCCAGGAAGCACAUCUAGUGACCGUCUGAGAAGUGGCAACUAGAGGUGUUCCUAGACUGUUUAAAUUAAAAAGCCUGUAGGGACAGUUUAUACUAACCAGAACAACUACUUGUUCUGUAGUUGGUCUGGUGACUAUAGUGACCCUUUAAAUAAUGACGCGUAUCAGAAAAAGAAUUUUAAAAAAUGUAAAACAUUAAACAAAGUAAAUUUAUAAAUUUAGAAUGCUGUUACAGUUUAUUAUCAAACAUAAAAUAUUCUCAUGUUUGCAUGAGGAGGAGAAGCAAGUAGUCGUGAUAAGGUCUGCACGUGUCUGUAUUCACAUAUGUGUACUGAGUUACAUAUCUGCCCUUCUAGUACCUGCAGCUAUCCUGUGACAGUACAUAUAAUAUCUGAAAAUUCAUUCAUAUUCCUAGAAACAAAGCCCAUUUUGUACCCAAUGUUCCUUAUUAAGACUAGUGUGUAUAGCUUGCUGAGCAUCAUGGGACAUGGAGUACACAAACUGGAUUUCCAGUUCUGUAGGAAAUGCAAAAGAAUAAAAAAUUAAGGAUUUCUGGGUUUUCUUCAUGUACACGAUUUUUCCAAAAGGGACUCGAUCAAAGCGCACAUGAUCAUACAUUAAACAAUGGCCAUAUACAUGCUUACUGCGUGGCCAAGUGUGAUUUUUUUUUUUUUUUUUUUUUAUAUGGCUGUCAUUUGAAGUAAAGAAUUUGUUAGGGUUGCAAUUGUUAUCUAGACAGAAAAGUUUUUUUCGGGCAAAGAAUUGGACAAAUAGACAGGGUUGUCAAAAUAUACCAAGUGUUCAAUAAACCAUACUUGGUUCAGUAUUUGCAAGUUUGUUUGUGGAAUAGAGAUGAUUCCAUUUUGUCCUCAAGACAAUAGCAAAUGAUGUGUUUUUAUUAAUCAGACUGUUUAGAACCAGCUUUUACUUUGUCAAUGAGAAAGUAGGCUGGCCAAAGGAAAAUAAAAAUCCUCCUUUUCAUUUCUCCAGAAUACUUUGCGUUAAAACUGCCAGCACGUGUUGCUAUAAUACUUGGCACACUAUAAUUGAAAUAUGAAUGGUCUGAAAAAUGCAAUACGGUAUUAAUCUUUUUAUCUUCGGUCAAAGCUUUAUCAAGACUUUAUAACAUUUCAUUUUGCACUGCUUGUUUUUUUUGUUUUUUUGUUCAUGUAAAAUGCAACGUGUAUGAUGUGAUAAAAAUGAAACAUUUUCUCUAAAUUGCAGUGUUAUUAAAAAA